UCCCCGUUGCCGAGGCGGUCUCGCAAGACAAAUAUAACUUACGACGAGGGUUGCGCUCGUUAAGGGACUUAACCCUACAUCUCACGACACGAGCUGACGACGGCCAUGCAUCACCUGUCACCAAUCCAGCCAAACUGACUCCUGCUUUUCGGCAAGAUACGAUUGGGAUGUCAAGUCUUGGUAAGGUUCUUCGCGUGUCAUCGAAUUAAACCACACGCUCCACCGCUUGUGCGGGUCCCCGUCAAUUCCUUUGAGUUUUAAGCUUGCGCUCGUACUCCCCAGGCGGGAUGCUUAACGCGUUAGCUUCGCUACCGAGAGGGUCGAUACUCCCAACAGCUAGCAUCCAUCGUUUACGGCGUGGACUAC
rnacentral:misc_RNA from 1 species